rnacentral:rRNA from 1 species
AUUGAACGCUGGCGGCAUGCCUUACACAUGCAAGUCGAACGGCAGCGCGGGUGCUUGCACCUGGUGGCGAGUGGCGAACGGGCGAGUAAUACAUCGGAACGUACCUUAUCGUGGGGGAUAACAAAUUGAAAAAUUUGCUAAUACCGCAUAAUACACUGAGGAGGAAAGCGGGGGAUUCGUAAGAACAUCGUGCGAUUAGAGCGGCCGAUGGCCGAUUAGCUAGUUGGUGAGGUAAAGGCCCACCAAGGCAACGAUCAGUAGCAGGUCUGAGAGGAGGAUCUGCAAAACUGGAACUGAGAAACGGUCCAGAGUCCUACGGGAGGCAGCAGUGGGGAGGUUUGGGCAAUGGGGGCAACCCUGAUCCAGCAAUGCCGCGUGAGUGAAGAAGGCCUUCGGGUUGUAAAGCUCUUUUGUCAGUGAAGAAAACUUUAAUAAUAACACUAUUAAAGCAUGACGGUAACUGAAGAAUAAGGACCGGCUAACUACGUGCCAGCCGCCGCCGUAA